CAUGCUGUAAACGAUGAUCACUCGCUGUAUGUCCGUUAGGGUAUGCGGCUGAGCUAAAGCAUUAAGUGAUCCACCUGGGGAGUACGGCGGCAACGCUGAAACUCAAAGGAAUUGACGGGGGCCCGCACAAGCGGAGGAACAUGUGGUUUAAUUCGAUGAUACGCGAGGAACCUUACCUGGGUUUAAAUGUAGGACGCAAGUCACGUGAAAGCGAGACCCUCCCGCAAGGGACGGACUACAAGGUGC
rnacentral:rRNA from 1 species